rnacentral:rRNA from 1 species
UCCUACGGGAGGCAGCAGUGGGGAAUUUUGGACAAUGGGCGAAAGCCUGAUCCAGCAAUGCCGCGUGUGCGAAGAAGGCCUUCGGGUUGUAAAGCACUUUUGUCAGGGAAGAAAUCGUUUGGGUUAAUACCCCGAGCAGUUGACGGUACCUGAAGAAUAAGCACCGGCUAACUACGUGCCAGCAGCCGCGGUAAU